UUAGUUAAGUCAAGAAUGGAUGACGUUACAACUCACGACUAUAAAACAAACACUGAAAACUUGAACUCUCUUAUGGCAGAAAUGGUUACAAAUGCUAAGCAACUGGAAACUGCAUUGUUAAGUUUAAAGAAUUAUUGUACGAGUUAUCCCCUUCAGCAACUUGAAGCUC